rnacentral:misc_RNA from 1 species
ACUGCAUCUGUGUCAUUUGCCUG